CAUGAACACUGUUAUCUAGGGUUUUUUAUACCUAGGAAAACCUUAUCUGUUAUCAAAGUCGUAAAUUUAUUGCUACCGAAUUAGGAUGAAAGGUGCAACAAUGAUCUUACUUAAAAUAGCAUAUAAACAAGCGUAAAUGUAAAAAAAAGGGGGAACGAGUGGAAUACCUGGAGCGGUUCCUGGCUGUUCGGCGAUUUGAAAAUCUUCAUGGGCUGCCCUGCCACCGAGGUCACAAUGCCACUUAUGGGCUUUCCACUGGGCUGGACCACCUUAAUCAUCUGCCCUGUUACAGAAAAAACGAAUAAAACACGUGCACUGAACCCGCUUUUCCUCCCACAUCGAGGCGGUUUCCCCCGAAACUCGGUCCUUUCCCGCCCAGCCCCCCAACCGGCAACUGUUUGCCCCCGCACCACUUCGUUGUGGGCCCCCGUUUUGGAAAAACCCCCGAACCCUUUAAAAAUUACCAUUGGCUCCCUGGAUCACCCAGUUGGUUGUGCUGUUCUGCUGGGUCAUUUUCCCUCUCGUGCGAAACACUCACUCGCCGCCCCUUUAGCACAUUUCCUCAAAAACGGGACACUGUCGAAAAAGCACCGGUUUUUAAAUCCGAGCUCCUCUCCAUCCAACUCCAACAAAAAUGGCGACUGUAACUAGGCGAUAUUUUGGAAUUGAAAUAGGCGGACCCCGCGCACCACGAAUUCGGUUUAAACAACUCGCGAAGUUUCCUCGAAUAUC